UCCUGUGUUGCAUGCCUAAUGCGACGGAAUUUGACCCCGAAUGAGUCCCGAUUUUCGCCUCUCACCAAUUCAUUGUGUUGGGUGUGGACGUGGAAGUAUUGCCCAUUCUCCUUGAAUGCUGCGCCCGUUCGCAUUGCAAUCAUGGGCAUUGGGUUGUUGCUAGUCCCCUCGGAUGCAGAACUUUUGAAGGGUGCACAGUGUGUUGCUGUUGUUUGCCCACAAAGAGUUCAUCGGUCGAUGCGUACGACGGCUGUGCCCCGUCUUGGUCCCCUCUGUAACUAGGUUUGGAUGGGGCUCAUGCGGUGCCGGCGUCGCUAAGGAAUGCUACCUGGUUGAUCCUGCCAGUAGUCAUAUGCUUGUCUCAA
rnacentral:misc_RNA from 1 species